UCGACAAACCUUCAAGGAUUGGUUCCAAAUAAAACAUCGGCAUUUCCUCCCUCAAUCUUAGCGUCAGCUGCACUUCAAUGUCCUUUCCGUCUCUCUCUGUCUCUCUCUCUAACAUUGAUUAACUUCUCGUCCUGAUUUUAUGUUUAAUCGGGAGGAAGGGAAUUGAAUCGAGUAAAGCACAAUUUCAAUUUACAGCCAUGGUUUCUGGGCUUGGAUCUUCAGGCGUUUUCAUGUUGCCGCUCAAUCGUUUAGCGCUAAUCGCUUGGCUUGUAAAGCAUUUUCCAGCUGUUGCGAUCCAUAUCAGAGGCGUGCGCGGCAAGAUCAUCCGGUUAGCCUCUCAUUGGUUGCUCUGAUAUUCGUCCGCGAUUGGUUGAUUCUUCGCGAGAGUCACUCCUGGAAAUUAUGCACUACUCGCAUUUUUGUUUGGUAGGUUCAAUUGCAGGAUUUUUCUUCAUUUCGCAUCUGUCUUGAUGGGUAUUUUGGUUGUUCUGGAUUUUGCGUUUCCCCCUUUAACUGGACUUGAGUGGUCCUUUACUUGAUGCGUAGCUCGAGAUGGAACCUCCUUUUUUUAUAGUUUGAAUGAUUUUCUUUGCUUCUUCGCUGUGUUCUCUAGUGACAGCUCCGAUCGGCGAAAAUCUGUUUUGUGGUACUCAAGAUUUUGGAUUUGAGGGGUAUCUAUUUUGACAUGGACUUGAUUUCUUUGAGUUUGUUUGAAUUGACUGAGACUAUAAUCAAUCUGUUGAAACUUUAUAAUCCAUGCAUUUGGGGGUAAGUGGGGGUGCUUGACAAUAGAUUAUUGGCUGUAGACGUGUGUUUUUGAUCGAAGUUGACCUUUUGCCACUCUCUCUUUAUUCCAGUCUAUUUUUCAUGAUUACUAGAUUGGCUCAAAGAGAACGAAGAAUAAUAAUUUAUGUUAUGCAGCUCUUUGGUUGUAAUUACAUGUUUAAAGUAUUGCCCUCAAUUGAUUGUAUACUUGGAACAGCGAGAUUCUUCAAAUCUUCCAUAUUUGCCUUAGAUAAUAGUGAUUCUUUUGGGAGAUUGCCAGAUUGGAGUAUGAUACUUGCAAACCGAAGUAACGAGAAACUAAACUACAAAAAUGAGUGGAGGGGUCUCAAGGUGAAGGUGAAGGUAGAGGUGGGAUUGAUUUUGUGUUAAUAUAUUCAUACACGAUGUUUUAUUAUCUUUAGUUUAUGAAGUACUCGAGUCAUAAAAUAGAGGUAUAAUGUUCUAAGGAUUUGAAUUCUUUUGUGCUGUUGUAUGUUUCUAGGUUCCACCCUAUGCUUUUUAAUUGGGUUCUUUGUGUAGGUCUACUCGUACUUGGAUGCUUCAUCCAUUAAGGGAGUUCAUUGGAGAGCUGUUCAGACGGCGAUCUUCAUUAAUGAAUUGAGAUUGGCAAGUGCAAGUAGUUCUUUUCUUGAUAUCCAAGAGCGUCUGGGAUGCUUGUGCGCACCUCAACUAUUCUCUGGGACAAACUCCUUACCCUAUUAUAUUUGGUUAUCAAGGCAUUUCUGUGAAGGGGCAAGUGUCAGUUUCAAUUUAAGGGCGAGGUAAGUGUAUGAUUGACCGAUUAGUAGUUGUUGGACGUUGGAAACCUUGGAAAAGGAAUGUCCGGGUUAUUCUUUACCCCAUUGACUAAUGCAACAUAUCAAGAAGCGUUUCCUAGAGUUGGUUAUUGUUUGAUUUACCUCACAUAACUUUUCCAAGGCAACUCCAUUUCUAAAGCUGUUGAAAAUAAGUUGGGCUCAUUUCAAUACAGAUGGAAAACAAAAGGACAACUCUCAUUCUUUGUCUAACCCCAAUUCAUUUACCAACACUUGAGAGUUAUUUUUCUGAUCCAUUCUACUUUCAAGUUUGCAUCGGAUUGCAGUUGUGAUGAAUCGAUGAUAAAACUUACACAGAACACAAAUAUUGAUGCCGCAGCAUGAGAGAAGAGUGAAGAAUUCAAAUUUUGAUGAAGCCGGAAAUGAAGCCAUAGUUCAAUUAGAAGCUACAGAGGGCUAAAUUCCAACACUUGGGUUAUUUUUCUGAAACAUUUUACUUUCGUGUUUGCAUCGGCUUGCAGAGUUGUGUUGAAUCGACGAUACAGAUUACACAGAGCUGUAUAUUGAUACAGCAGAGCAUAAGAUAAGAGUGAAGAAUUCAGAGUUUGAUGAAGCUGGAAUUGAAGCCAUAGUGCAAUUAGAAGCUACAGAGGGCUAAAUUUUCACAAUGUUGUCUACUAUUCAUAUAGUGCCAUAGAUAUUCAUAAGAAAGGCAAACUCUCCCUCCUACCUGGAAGAAAAAACCCAUUAAAGG